UAGUAAACCAGUGAGGAAUAUAGGUGAGGU
rnacentral:piRNA from 1 species